rnacentral:lncRNA from 1 species
AUGUUUCAUUUCUUAGACACAGAGGACCUUGACCAGCGCCUGUGCUUUUGCCUGCAGCUGCUUCAACACACUGGUGAAAUUGCAGUGGAAAUGAAAUGAGACCUCAAGACACGCCCUACUGAAUUGAUGCAUUUCAUGAUGACUGGUUUUCACAUUUCAAAUGAAUGUAUUGGAAUCGCUGCUAGCCAAUGAUUUAUCAGCAUGAUUUAUGUGCAUCCCUAAUGUUUUUACAUCAUGUUCAUGUUAGGGCCAAAAAUCAUAUUCGAAGUUCAUUUGUUUAUUAAUAUUUGAAUAUAUUCAAAUAUUUAUGAACAAUACUUUGACCAUUAAAUGCCUUCAGUAAGACCUAUAUUGGUAUCAAAUUUAAGUUGUACAUGUUCUGUCCACCAGAGGGCAGUGUAUCAAUCAAUGUCAGUAGGCAGGCAAUGAUGUUUUCAGAAGAAAAACACACAACUUAAAAAAAAAAAAAAGAAAAAUUUGAUUAAAAGUUAGACCCGUCCUCCUCCUCUUCUAGCUUGCCGGGAUGUAGUGUUGACAGGUGGGCUCUCAAGUUGCUGGUCGUCGCGUAGUAUGUGAGUUUGGUCCUACAUAUUUUACAUAUCACUUUGUACUUAGUCGAAAUUUUUCCCUGUUCCUUUGGGAACCCAAAGUUGCGCAACACGUUACUUUUCAGAUGGUCUGGAGUGUAGAU